rnacentral:pre_miRNA from 11 species
GACCGCACGGGAUAAUCAUUUAUCACGUGCGGUCGGUAUAACUAGACAGCACGGGAUAAUCUAUUAUCCCAUGCAGUC